rnacentral:lncRNA from 1 species
CUGGAGCGGUUUCAUUGCCUACAUUCCGCAUUGGAAAAUAGAAGCAGGCACAAUGAAGGGAAAAGGCCGAGGCAUCAGCGUGUGAAGACCGCAAAGACGAUCCCGAGUACAGUUGUGAACAGCAUUGCUGCUAGGCUCCUCCUGCAGAUCAUCUGAAAUGAACCUCUCUUAUUGAUUUUUAUUGGCCUAGAGCCAGGAGUACUGCAUUCAGUUGACUUUCAGGGUAAAAAGAAAACAGUCCUGGUUGUUGUCAUCAUAAACAUAUGGACCAGUGUGAUGGUGAAAUGAGAUGAGGCUCCGCAAUGGAACUGUAGCCACUGCUUUAGCAUUUAUCACUUCCUUCCUUACUUUGUCUUGGUAUACUACAUGGCAAAAUGGGAAAGGUAAGGAAAAUGACUCGGAAAAUGUGCAUGAAAUGUACUAGGGUUUUUGCUUGGUUAAGGUGCCUAAAUGCUUAGGUCAAAUACCCUGGCAAUCUGCAUGUUACAUGCUAUCUGCUGGCAGUUUCUUUCUGAUAUAAAAAUGAAACAGUAUUCUUGGACAGAGGACACAGAAUUUCUAAUUCCAGUGGGGCUUGUUUUGUUUUCAGUUUCUUAUAAUUGUACUUGGAGAAACAGAUACUGAUCAGUGUUUUAUAUUCUAAAAGACAGCCAAGUUGAAUAAUAAAGACUUUCGUUUUGGCA